rnacentral:lncRNA from 1 species
AUUUCUUCAAAAUGUCUCAACUCUAAGCUUACAUAUCAAUUACAAUAUAACAUAGCUCAAUAUGAUAAUGAUGAAGAUAAAAAUAUAUUUUUCUAUUUUUAAUAUAUAAAAUUACCUACUAUUUUUGAAAAUCCCAGUGACCCCCCUCCCCCACCCCUAGCUCCGCCCCUGCUCAUGAUCCCGUACCACCAUGCCAAACACCCAUGGUAUUGGAAUCAUUGAAGAAUGCGGCGUCAACCCCACAAAUCACCGAACCCAGAUGUAACGGAUGCCACCCCAAGCAGAUCGUCGACGGGACCAUAUGAGGACGAGCAGAGAGCCAAUCGUGUCGAUCUCCCGCCGCCAUCUCAACGGAGCGUGGUGAUGUGAUAAUACUUACCUGUAAAUUACUUGAAAUACUUAAAAAUUUAACGAGUUAAAUGAUUGAUACUUCAAGUUUUCAAUAUUAUAAUUUCAAAACAUACGCUUAAACAUGAUCGAAAAUAAUAAUAAUAAAAGGCCACUAAUCUCUUACGGAAGACCUGCGCAAUAAUGUGACUUAUUUCUUCAUCAAUUUAUUGGCUAUUUAAAAAUGUUUUUAUUUUCUCAAAAAACAAAAACAUGUUGCCUUUAAAUAUACAAUUUUAGAAUAAUUCUGUAGACAUACAUUUAGGGGGGUGUAUUAGUUCAAAAUUUUUAUAGAUUUAUGGAGACUUUUAAAGUCUGGGUGUAUUUGUUCAAGACUUUUAAAAGUCUAUGAAAAUUUGGGUGUAUUCGUUCUAAGACUUUUAAAAGUCUAUAAAAAUCUCGGUGUAUUCGUUCAAGACUUUUAAAAGUCUAUGAAAAUCUGGGUGUAUUCGUUAAUCUAUGGACUUUAAAGUUGGAAUGACUUUCAUUGAUUUCGUCCAAAAAAAUAGGCAUGAACAAAUCCGAAGACAGACCACGAGAAUUCACAAAUCUUGCAAAUUCCCCGCGCUCGCUGGGUGCCAGCGCCCGCGGCCAAGAAGCCAGCGGCCGCUAGACCCAGCGGUCGUUGGACAAGCCCAAGCGUCAGUUUUAGAAAAACUACGGAGCAUCUCUACUAUUUCCUUGGUAGAUCCACACUGCUGCUCUGUACAAGCAUAGAUCCAACGCCCCACAUGCCCCCCAAUUUUAGUGCUGAUAUCCCUCUCUUCAUGGCCACACUUCUUUGCAAAUGACGGAGAAAUCUAUCUCAAUCCCCCUCAAGUCUAAAAAUCUCUAAUUACUCCCUUAAUUCACCUCAUCUGCUCGGCUGCCAUGUUAUGCUUCAAUAAGUAACAAAUAAGGUUGGAUAUAGCCUAUUUCACAUUCCCUGCUGUCCCGAUAAGAAGUAAGUCGAUAUGUGAUUUUUCUUUUUCGAAAUUUGAUACUUUAGAAUUCCCAAACUCGUUAGCCUCCAGGGCCCUAUUUUUGUGAUUCCUUGCGGAAAUCGCCAGCUCUGCAAACGUCAAGCGCCAUCGAGGCGAGUAUGAUCGAAGUAAAAAUAAAUCGAUUGGACGAGGCGUCGGCCUCGCCGGAGUUCGGAUAGAGAGGAAACGCGAACUGAUUAUCAACGAGAGAAAGAUGGGUUCCAACUAUAUUUUGCGGGCCAAUCAAAUCUUAUGCUAAAAAUUGUGGUGUUCCUCGUAUUUAUAUCUGCAACUCACGAAAAAAUCCCACAAACUUGCAACAUUGAAAUUUUCCUGCUAUUCAAGUUCUACUCCCAUUUCCCUAACAAAAUUCAGAUUACCUCCUUCUGUGAGGAACUUGUCUCUUACAAGAUGUGAAAUAGCUGUUGAAUUCAUGGAAUAUCUUUGUGAGGAGUUACCAAAUCUUGAAGUUCUUAAACUUCGAGAUUGCAAGUUUGAAGGCAAGUACCUGGAUGCAGCAGAGCAAGAGUUCAGCAAGCUGCACUUCCUGCUACUUGAAGAUGUGCAACUGGUGCAAUGGCAAGUGAUGAGAGCAGCUUCCCAAGACUCCGUCACCUUGUUAUCCGGUGCUGCUCUGCUCUAGAGGAGAUCCCAGCGCUGGCUGGUGUCCAGCGCUCACUGUGUAGGCAGCGCUGCUGGAACCCAACGCUGGCCACAAACCCAGCGCUCGCUGGACCCCUAGCGGCCGCUGGGUGCCUGUCCAUCGCUCGUUCAAUCCCCGCGCGCGCUAGGUUUGUGGAUUUCAAGUCCGAAAGUCAAAUUCUUGCUAAUUCAUUAAAAAUCUGACCGAGAAUUCACUCAAAAUCAUGAAGAAUCCGUGAGAAUUCUACAGACUUUUAAAAUCCACGGACUUUUAAAAUCUACAUAAGUCUUGAACUAAUACACCCCCCUUAAUUUCAUUCAAAACGGACAAAAUCUAGCCGAGGCUCCCAUCUCUCCACACAAUCAAUAAUUGAACCUCAUAGGAUCCAAUCCAAAGAAGAUAACAUAUAAUUGUGUAUACUGUAUACGGUGGGCCAAGGAUAACCAUGUAGGAGUAUUUUUUAUAUACCGAUUUAUAUAUAUUUAGGAGAUGAUUAUUUGCAUGUAAAUA